GAUAGACGCUGGCGGCGUGCCUAAUACAUGCAAGUCGAGCGAACAGACGAGGAGCUUGCUCCUCUGAUGUUAGCGGCGGACGGGUGAGUAACACGUGGAUAACCUACCUAUAAGACUGGGAUAACUUCGGGAAACCGGAGCUAAUACCGGAUAAUAUGUUGAACCGCAUGGUUCAACAGUGAAAGACGGUCUUGCUGUCACUUAUAGAUGGAUCCGCGCCGCAUUAGCUAGUUGGUAAGGUAACGGCUUACCAAGGCAACGAUGCGUAGCCGACCUGAGAGGGUGAUCGGCCACACUGGAACUGAGACACGGUCCAGACUCCUACGGGAGGCAGCAGUAGGGAAUCUUCCGCAAUGGGCGAAAGCCUGACGGAGCAACGCCGCGUGAGUGAAGAAGGUCUUCGGAUCGUAAAACUCUGUUAUUAGGGAAGAACAAAUGUGUAAGUAACUAUGCACGUCUUGACGGUACCUAAUCAGAAAGCCACGGCUAACUACGUG
rnacentral:rRNA from 1 species